rnacentral:rRNA from 1 species
CCUACGGGAGGCUGCAGUGAGGAAUAUUGGUCAAUGGACGAGAGUCUGAACCAGCCAAGUAGCGUGAAGGAUGACUGCCCUAUGGGUUGUAAACUUCUUUUAUAUGGGAAUAAAAUGUUCCACGUGUGGGAUUUUGUAUGUACCAUAUGAAUAAGGAUCGGCUAACUCCGUGCCAGCAGCCGCGGUAAUACGGAGGAUCCGAGCGUUAUCCGGAUUUAUUGGGUGUAAAUGGAGAGUAGGUGGAUUGUUAAGUCAGUUGUGAAAGUUUGCGGCUCAACCGUAAAAUUGCAGUUGAAACUGGCAGUCUUGAGUACAGUAGAGGUGGGCGGAAUUCGUGGUGUAGCGGUGAAAUGCUUAGAUAUCACGAAGAACUCCGAUUGCGAAGGCAGUUCACUGGACUGCAACUGACACUGAGGCUCGAAAGUGUGGGUAUCAAACAGGAUUAGAUACCCUUGUAGUC